rnacentral:rRNA from 1 species
GUGGGGAAUAUUGCGCAAUGGGCGAAAGCCUGACGCAGCGACGCCGCGUGAGGGAUGACGGCCUUCGGGUUGUAAACCUCUUUCAGCAGGGACGAAGCGAAAGUGACGGUACCUGCAGAAGAAGCGCCGGCCAACUACGUGCCAGCAGCCGCGGUAAUACGUAGGGCGCAAGCGUUGUCCGGAAUUAUUGGGCGUAAAGAGCUCGUAGGCGGUUUGUCACGUCGGCUGUGAAAACCCGAGGCUCAACCUCGGGCCUGCAGUCGAUACGGGCAGACUAGAGUGCUGUAGGGGAGACUGGAAUUCCUGGUGUAGCGGUGAAAUGCGCAGAUAUCAGGAGGAACACCGGUGGCGAAGGCGGGUCUCUGGGCAGUAACUGACGCUGAGGAGCGAAAGCGUGGGGAGCAAACAGGAUUAGAUACCCUUGUAGUCC